rnacentral:lncRNA from 1 species
CUGUCGCUCUGGUUCUCUUCUUCGUACACACUCUCCCUCUUUUGUCGCUCACAGACCGUAAAGCAUGCCGCAAGCUAUACCGAGACCCUGCCAGCGUAAGUAAGACAGCCACUAUUCGCAGGUUUGCUACAACAAGUAAUUAUGCAAAAUCAUUAAAACAAAAAUUGAAUUUUCAUCACUUACAGCACAAUUUUGAAGAAUUGUCAGGACCUCCUUCCUUUUGUCAACGACGCGAGAAACAAGACAAAAAUACCAAAACUCAGAAACUAUAAUGUGAAAGAUAAGAAGAAAGAGAUACCU